GGCAGAGAGAACAUGCAAACUCCACACACAUGGAACCCUGGUGGAGACUUGAACUCAGGUUCCAGAGGUGUGAGGGGACACUGAUGGCCACUGCGCCAACUGUGCCGCCCGAUGCCCUUUUAUGCCUUUAGAAAACCUGUGCAAAUAGACGCAGAUCACGGGUAUAUUUGUGCAUUUUGACCAGUUUGAAAGUGGUGAUGCAACCAACUCAGUUUGGUCACACUUUCAGCCUUGCUAGUAAGCAGGACCAUGUCAGCGCGGGUACGGCUUGGGCUCGGCUUGGGAUCAGCUUGGGCUCGGCUUGGGCUCAGCUUACAUAAUUUACAGUGGAAAACUCUCCCCUCGCAAUAUGGCUCAGUUCUUGAUGGCAGUGGAAAAGUGCCAUAAAUUGCCCAUUACGCAUGUCCUGCAAAGGCGUGACAUCCCGUGCAUAGUGUUCCACUGGCUUGUACCCUGUGCUUUCUGGGAUUGGUUCGAGGCUCAGUGCAAUCCUGUACUCUGCAAGUGAUUGGAGAUUGGAUGAAAGUCUAAGUAUAGUGACAAAUAAGAGAGAAAAUUCUGUCAUUUUAUACUGCUGAGAUCUCCGCAUUAUACUUCUCUCUGCAUGUUUGUCACCAUAAUCUGUUGUAGGAAAGCAAUGUAAUUGUAUAUUUAGUUAAAUGAGACAGGAAAUUAGAAGGGAAGUGUUCUCUAAAUCUUUGUUUGCCAGCAUUUGCGUACGUUUCUCGUACUGAGUGAUUUAAAGUGACUUAAAGUGCCAGUGACUGGGAGCUGAAACUCAGACUAAGCAUAUCAUUGGGUUCUGGAAUUUUUGUGCAACAGGAAACAGACGGUCAAUAUCCACAAUGACACCAUCAAGUCUGCAGACUAAUAUCAUGGGGCUCAUCACAUGUGAUGACGAAACAUCUUACGGGGAGCAGGUGAGACAGCUAAAGUCAAAACCACAACUUCUCUGUUUAAACUAGCAAGACAAAGUUCACAGCACCAAGAAAGACCCUCUAAUUGCUCUCAUGACCUCCUACUUUCUGGAAGAAGGUUGUGCAGCAUCAUCCAGGUUCAUGAACUAUCCAUGAACUAGCAUAACCAUGUAAAUGAAGUAUUCAGCACAUUUAUUACUGCUAAUGUUUUAUGGAGUCUUAUUCAUUGUUUAAAUGUAUUUAUUUUGUUAUGCUUCUGUUUUUAAUUGCACGGUGGUCCUUGGGGGUGCUGUAUUUCUUGCUCUCUCUUGCACCCCCCUGUAAUGACAGUGACAAUACACUUGACCACGUUAACCUUAAACUAAUCCCUAAACAAUAAAGUACAUAUGAAGCGAUCUUAAAAGGUAAGUUAAUGCCAUUACUUGAAUUUGUCUCUCCCUUAUUUGUUUGCUCGACUUCAGAUCUGGCUGCCUCUGACGUUAACGCUGCUGUUUGUGUGUCGUCGAUACCAUGUUCCAUGCCAACCAAUUGCGUAACAACUGUACACUGGGGCAAAAAUUAACCAUACCCCCUUCCACUUUCCAAAUUCAUGCCUAGGGCCUGCCUGCACCAGUUACAGCAGUUGCAUACGAUAAAAUUUAAGUAGCCUCCAAAUAUCGUACCCAUCAUGCACUGCAGUAGUUAUCAAUUUUCACAAACAUACAUUUUUCAUCAAAUACAUGCCUCGACAACAGUUUGAUUACAAGACAUUGCAAACUACUACAUUUCAAAAUUGUUUUAAGGAUUGUACCACAUAUUUUUUGUAUUAUGAUUCCCGCCAUAAUGAGACUGUAUACAUAAAAAUGAGAUAUAAAAGUAGCAUACACCAAAAUGCAUGUAAUAUGUGCUGUAAUCCUCAUAAAUAUUUCACAUGUAUGAGAUUUGCAAUCAAAGGGGGACCCUUGACAUCACCCAGACAUGUCCCCCACCUACUAGUUCACCCCUGAAGCCAACAUCCGGUGAUCUUGGAGAACAACCUUCUCCUUAUGCUUCGCCUGCCAGUUUGCAGCUCUGCUAUUAGGCGACAGUUAAGGUAAUUUCCAGCAAAGACUGUUACCAGUGUUUUUUCCUCAUCCUUGCAGUUGGAAGAACCUCAGUAGGAUUCACGGAGUGAUGUUUCCCAAACAGCUUCAGAGGACUCCCCACAGGGUGUUUAGUUACACAUGACUGAUGCUGUGAAAACAGGAGAGGCUGCCUCUUCACACACCUCUCCAGGGCUCUCAGGAGGACAUACACCAUCUGUCCCAUGAGGAGUCUCUGGAAACAAACUCAGGCUGACAACAAGGAGAAUGACAUCGGCAUGGCAUGCUGACAUCUAGGGAGUUUUUCCACUGCAGCAGAUACGGUAUUUUUGGUCAGCGAAAAUUAGUGAUUUAAACAGCAAGGAUGAACAUCAUUA